CAAACUGGAGAUGGCGACCGGCGCACGGGUGAGUAACACGUAUCCAACCUGCCGAUAACUCGGGGAUAGCCCUUCGAAAGAAAGAUUAAUACCCGAUGGCAUAAUAGAACCGCAUGGUUUGAUUAUUAAAGAAUUUCGGUUAUCGAUGGGGAUGCGUUCCAUUAGGCAGUUGGUGGGGUAACGGCCCACCAAACCUUCGAUGGAUAGGGGUUCUGAGAGGAAGGUCCCCCACAUUGGAACCGAGACACGGUCCAA
rnacentral:rRNA from 1 species